UGCAUAGUGUGUGACCUCCCUA
rnacentral:miRNA from 1 species